GACGAACGCUGGCGGCGUGCUUAACACAUGCAAGUCGAACGGUAAGGCCCUUCGGGGUACACGAGUGGCGAACGGGUGAGUAACACGUGGGUGACCUGCCCUGCACUUCGGGAUAAGCCUGGGAAACUGGGUCUAAUACCGGAUAGGACCACUGCCUGCAUGGGUGGUGGUGGAAAGCUUUUGCGGUGUGGGAUGGGCCCGCGGCCUAUCAGCUUGUUGGUGGGGUGAUGGCCUACCAAGGCGACGACGGGUAGCCGGCCUGAGAGGGUGACCGGCCAGACUGGGACUGGGAUACGGACCAGACUCCUACGGGAGGCAGCAGUGGGGAAUAUUGCACAAUGGGCGCAAGCCUGAUGCAGCGACGCCGCGUGAGGGAUGACGGCCUUCGGGUUGUAAACCUCUUUCAGCACCGACGAAGCGCAAGUGACGGUAGGUGCAGAAGAAGGACCGGCCAACUACGUGCCAGCCGCCGCCGUAA
rnacentral:rRNA from 1 species